CCUACGGGGGGCAGCAGUGGGGAAUAUUGCACAAUGGGGGAAACCCUGAUGCAGCGACGCCGCGUGAGUGAAGAAGUAUCUCGGUACGUAAAGCUCUAUCAGCAGGGAAGCAAAUGACGGUACCUGACUAAGAAGCCCCGGCUAACUACGUGCAAGCAGCCGCUGAAAUACGUAGGGGGCAAGCGGUAUCCGGAUUUAUUGGGUUUAAAGGGUGCGUAGGCGGAAUGCCAAGUCAGCGGUAAAAUCGCGGGGCUCAACCCCGCUCCGCCGUUGAAACUGGCGUUCUUGAGUGGGCGAGAAGUAUGCGGAAUGUGUGGUGUAGCGGUGAAAUGCAUAGAUAUCACGCAGAACUCCGAUUGCGAAGGCAGCAUACCGGCGCCCAACUGACGCUGAAGCACGAAAGCGUGGGUAUUGAACAGGAUUAGAUACCCCGGUAGUC
rnacentral:rRNA from 1 species